rnacentral:tRNA from 1 species
GAGCCCGUGGCGCAAUGGUUAGAGCGUUUGACUUUGGAUCAAAAGGUCACGGGGUCG